rnacentral:lncRNA from 1 species
UAAUUGUUCAGCUUUACCAUGCUUUGGAUCCAUUUCAUAUUUCAUCCACUUUAAAUCCAACGCACGGAGCCUUGUAGCGGAUGUCUUGCCAUAAGUGACCUUAAGCUUGUUCCACAUGUCUUUGGCCGUAGAACAACUCUCAAACUCUCAAAUGAGAUUGUGAUGCAUGCAAUACAACAUACUAUAGUGCAUAACGAUCCAUCUUGGAACAUUCCUGAUAUGCAACCAUAUCAUCAUUGUACUGAUCACUAUUGAUAUUUUUUGGCUCAGGUACAAUAUUGGUCAAGGUUUCCAAAACCUCGUGCUCAAUA